ACCGAACGGCCGGCAGGCGAUCCGCGUCGGUCGCGCUGGGUGGUAUGGUUAGGCCGGUUCUUGUGCUGCCUACCCCUUCAGGGGAAGAGUUCCAAACUCGAUGUAAGCCUCCAUCCGGCGCCCUCCAAAGGGCGCGGGAGGACAACGGAGCACCCCCCGCGUUCCACCGAGCCUCCUCGGUCGCGUGGCCUGCGGGGACGUGCGAUGCUCUCGGACCCAGCGAACGCCGUGGGCGAGGACUCACGUCCCGGUCCCAAGUGAAGCAACGGUAUAACGCACGACGGCCGCUCCCGCCCCCCGACCGCCCCGGCGGCGCGGGGGCGAAGGCGCGGCGUCGCUGAGGAAUGCUAC
rnacentral:misc_RNA from 1 species